UACCAGCACCCCGAGUGGUCGGGACGAUUAUUGGGCCUAAAGCAUCCGUAGCCGGUCCUACAAGUCUUCCGUUAAAUCCACCUGCUUAACAGAUGGGCUGCGGAAGAUACUAUAGGGCUAGGAGGCGGGAGAGGCAAGCGGUACUCAGUGGGUAGGGGUAAAAUCCUCUGAUCCAUUGAAGACCACCAGUGGCGAAGGCGGCUACCUGGACAGAAACUGACGCUGAGGCGCGAAAGCUAGGGGAGCAAACAGG
rnacentral:rRNA from 1 species